rnacentral:tmRNA from 2 species
GGGGCUGAUUUUUGGUUUCGACUUCGUACACUGAUCCAGGGGAAGCGUGCCGGUGCAGACUACUGACCACCGAUUUAAGCGUCGUAGUAACUAAAAUAAACGCAGAGAAGACCUCUCAGCGUGACUACGCCCUCGCUGCCUAAUCAGCGACGCGUGUCUGUCGGCCUAGGGUAGUUCCCGCCCUAGUUCCCGGCAUCGACUUAAGGGAACUUGCCCACUGGCUGUGUUGACGGGGCCAGCGGGGACUCUUACCGACAACUGGGCUCAUCAUCCGGAUGUGUUCGUCCAAGCCGGAGAGCCGAGUAGAGAUCAGCGCACGAACUGCGCACGGAGAAGCCCUGGUGAGAUGACGAAGGACCCGGGUUCGAUUCCCGGCAGCUCCACUA